rnacentral:tRNA from 2 species
GCUAACCUAGCUCAAUUGGUAGAGCAGCGCAUUCGUAAUGCGCCGGUUGUGGGUUCAAGUCCCACGGUUAGCUCCA